GCCUUGAUGCUUUGAGUGCCUUUCUCAAAGCGCGUUUAUUUGCCAAUUUUGAUCGGCUCGCUCGCCUGAAUUGCGCGGGACGAGUCGAUAAAAGUCGUUGAAUGGCCAGAUAAAUUUGCUGAUCGCACGGUCUUAGUACUGGCGACGAAUCUUUGAAACGACUUGCCUAUCAACUGUCGAUGGCAGGCUACGUGCCUACCAUGGUGACAACGGUUAACGGGGAAUCAGGGUUCGAUUCCGGAGAGAGAGCCUGAGAGACGGCUACCACAUCCAAGGAAGGCAGCAGGCACGCAAAUUACCCACUCCCAGAAUGGGGAGGUAGUGACGAUAAAUAACGGAACGUAUCUCGACGAGACGCGUUACCGGAACGACUGAGCCGUAUACAAGCUCGGCGAAAGCUAUUGGAGGGCAAGUCUGGUGCCAGCAGCCGCGGUAAUUCCAGCUCCAAUAGCGUAUAUUAAACUUGCUGCGGUUGAACCGCUCGUAGUUGGAUUGUGAACCGUGACCACGGUCCUCUAAGUGAAGAGGAAUGGCUUUGCCGCCGUUGGUCGUGAUCAAUGAUGUCAUAGUUGUCCGGAUGCUCUUCAUCGGGUGUCUUGGACGGCAUGAAUGUUUACUUUGAGAAAAUAAGAGCGCCCAAAGCAGGCUGCUAUAUGCUUGAACGGAAUUUCAUGGGAUAGUGAA
rnacentral:rRNA from 1 species